GGAGACGUGUACAAAAUAUUCAAAACACAAAAAUAGCAAAAUCCAAUGAAUACAAAGAAUAGAAUGUAACGUUGACUAGCCUGUCUUUUUAAUAUGGAGGGUAUGUAAAUAUGAUCCUCUUUUAAUUUUGGUAAACAAAAUAACAGAAUUUGUUUUUUGUUACAAUCCAAAGUUGUUAACUAUUCUAAAUUUUGAAAUAUAAAUACUCAAAUUAACUCCUAAGCUU